rnacentral:rRNA from 1 species
AUUGAACGCUGGCGGCAUGCCUUACACAUGCAAGUCGAACGGCAGCACGGGAGCAAUCCUGGUGGCGAGUGGCGAACGGGUGAGUAAUAUAUCGGAACGUGCCCAGUCGUGGGGGAUAACGUAGCGAAAGCUACGCUAAUACCGCAUACUAUCUAUGGAUGAAANCGGGGGAUCGCAAGACCUCGCGCGAUUGGAGCGGCCGAUAUCGGAUUAGGUAGUUGGUGAGGUAAAGGCUCACCAAGCCGACGAUCUGUAGCUGGGUCUGAGAGGACGACCAGCCACACUGGGACUGAGACACGGCCCAGACUCCUACGGGAGGCAGCAGUGGGGAAUUUUGGACAAUGGGCGCAAGCCUGAUCCAGCAAUGCCGCGUGCAGGAUGAAGGCCUUCGGGUUGUAAACUGCUUUUGUACGGAACGAAACGGUGAGCUCUAAUACAGUUUGCUAAUGACGGUACCGUAAGAAUAAGCACCGGCUAACUACGUG